rnacentral:misc_RNA from 1 species
CCCCUGCUUGCAAAGCAGGUGCUCUCCCAGCUGAGCUACGGCCCCUAAAUCAGAAUAAAGCGUUUAAAACGAUCAAAAGAGGGAUUACAAAAUCUAUAUAACUCAAAGCGAUAUGAUUGAACCGAUAGUUUCAUAUAGGCAUUGACGUCUAUGAGCAUUUGGAAUUUAUAUCAACCAAAUGGACGCUGUAAAAAUCACUUUGCAAGGAAUUUUGACUCCUUAGUAUUUAGCAUUUGAACUGUUUUUUUGCCAUUAAUUUGCUUUAACUUUGGAUUACUCACACAAAAGCAAUAAGCCUGCCAAUUUUGAUAAGCUUUUUAGAAGCAAUCUUUUUAGAAGUACUUAUUUUUUAAAAGCACUUAUGAAAGUAAUGGAUAAACUGGUGGGCCUGGGAGGACUUGAACCUCCGACCUCACGCUUAUCAAGCGCGCGCUCUAACCAACUGAGCUACAAGCCCUCCGGGAUAAACCGGAAAACCUUCCCCGGCAUCCUCUUAUAAAACGCUUAAAUUUUAUCAAGGAAAGCGUUUUUCAAAGCCCACGGUGGACUU